UCCCUGGUGGUCCAGUGGUUAAGAUUCUGUGCUCCCAAUGCAGGGAGCCCAGCUUCAACCCCUGGUCAAGGAA
rnacentral:tRNA from 1 species